rnacentral:lncRNA from 15 species
UCCGAGGUUUCUGCCUCUUAACAGGCAGUUUUUCCUUGCCGCUGUCUCCAAGGUCUUGCUCAUGGUGGUACUGUUGGGUCUCUGUAAAUAAUGUUAUAAAGAGUUCGGUCUAGACCUGCUCUAUUUGAAAAGUGUCCUGAGACAACUUCUGUUAUGAAUUGGUGCUAUACAAAUAAAAUUGAAUUGAAUUGAAUUGAAUUCUGUCUCUAUAAUAAUCAGUGUGUGUGAGCAGAGAGUGAACGGGUUGUAGUGUAGCUUUGUUCCUUUGCUGCCUGUAGACUGAUUUCUAUGUGUUUCUAUUCAUUUAAAAGAUUUAUAAAUGCAGAAACAUGAACGUGGAUGUAACCAGCUGAACUUCUGCACAGAUUCUAACACUGUAAAAACCUGUUUCAUGAAGUUUCACAUUCCUGCUUUGAGCUUCACGUUUGAUGAGAAGCCAGCAGGUGAUGGUUCAAAUGUUCCUUCAAUCUGAUGUCGGUCUGAUCAAUCACUGCUGAACCAGUUCAACCAGGUUCCUCUCCGAUGGUUGUCUGAGGACACUGGAUCUGAUCUGAAGCCUUUAAUGUUUUUAAUGUUUGACCAAAGGGUAAAUCAGUGUCACCAUCAGUCUGCUGUGGAUGGACAAAUGUGUGUGACAGCUGACGCUCCAUCCAGGUUCUCAUUGGACCACUUUUACUAAGGAUGCUGCCACUCCUCUGGGUGCGGUUUUAAUGAAUUUCCCUGUUGAGAUCAGAGAUCAGUUCUCUGUGCUGCAGCUCACACUGAAGACUUCUAAAUCAGUCCCGAGUCUGAGCAUGACGAGCCAUUUCAACCGGAGAGGACACAACCUCGUGUUUAAAGGUCUGCACUUNNNNNNNNNNNNNNNNNNNNNNNNNNNNNNNNNNNNNNNNNNNNNNNNNNNNNNNNNNNNNNNNNNNNNNNNNNNNNCACAUCCCAGCGUACCCCCGACCAGAGUUUCAUGUGUCUCAUCUGAAACACGACACCGACCAAGCUGGAUUACGUGGGAUCAGGAGGGACGGUGGCUUUAGGAACCCGGCUGAUGGCUCUCUGCUGUGGUGGAGUCUGGUUGUGGGAUCUGAUGAGAUAAGGUCCGCUGAGAGGAGGCUCCUGGAGACCACCUACCCAGACCGGACAGAGGAGCAGGCCCAGAAGCAGCAGAGCUUCCUGGAGAAGUUUGCAACCUCCCCAGUCUUCAUGGAGUCCUCCAGGCUGGGCUCGUACCGCUUCACCUUCCCCCUGGAGGAGGUUCUGAAGGCCUACAGAGACCAGUUUUGUUCCGGUGCUCAACCCGUCAUGAGGGUGUUCAGGACCAUCCUGUACAAACAGGAAGUGAUGUACGCGGUGCUGGUCCACAGCCCGGCCAAUCAGCAGCUGUUCUCAGACCUUCCUCUGCUGACUGACGACCCAAACUCUGUGUGCACUUACAGAGACGGACACUUCAUCUGGAGGUCUGAGGCCAUGUGUGAGACACACAGGUAGGAACUGAGCACUGAGGUUCUGUAACACCUGCUGUCUGCUUCCUGUCUGGUUGUCCUGUUGCUGACUGUUAUCUUCUGCCUGACGCUGCUUCCUCUCUCCGCUGAUCCCACCAAAAUAUCUGUACGUUUACAGGUUCUUCCUGUGUAUGUUUUAUAAACAUGGAAAUAUUCAUUCAAUUACACAAAUACAGUGUGAAUUCACACCAAUCAUCAAUCCACAAUCAUAAAAAUAAUGCUUAUUUAAAGAAAAUGUACUUUUUUUCACAUAAAAAGUUUAAAAUAUAUUUUUUCGCCAGAGAAAGAGAAAAAUCAAAUAAUAACAGCACUCUGCUGUAAGCCUGAUUAUUUGUAUUAUAACAGUGUUCCCCUGUAUUUAUAGCUCAUUGCAUCGUUUUUACAGUGUAAAUAUAUUUAAUUAAACAUUAAGAAGACAAAAAAUUACACAAGAUUUUAUG